ensembl:snRNA U1 U1 spliceosomal RNA
AUACUUAGCUGGCAGGAUGAAUACCAUGAUACAGAAUGUGGUUUUUUCCAGGUGGGACCCCUAUAUUUCACUUGGGAUAUUACUGACUUGUACAAAUUUCCAAAAUACAGGAAAAUUGACUCUACAAUUUGAUGGC